AGCAGAGCCAAACACAUACCCCUGACCAAGCAGCGAGACAUGUGCCAGAGCAAAGCCUGAACUUUGGCUCCCCGCCACUAGAGGUCUUCAUGGGCAGCCAUCAGCCUCACCUGCUGCAAAGGCCACGGGAAGAAAGAGGAGGUCCCAGACAUGGCAGAUCACUUUGUCUGCUAUUUGGAUAGUGAUAGCUGCUUCUUUCCGGUCCCCGUUUGCUUAGAGUACAUCUUCCUUAUUACUUCACUUUACGAUGCACAGAAGCAGCCUAUCCUUGAAGGUAAGAUGGGGUUUUGUUUGUUGGGCUUUUUCAGUUUUGUUUUGUUUUGUUUUUGUAGACAAAAGACAUGGAUUUUAUUUCUUAAUCCAUUCAACUAACCUGUAUCUUUUAAUUGAGGGUUUGAGGUUAUUAGUACUUAAUGUUAUUAUCAAAAGGGCUGUCGAUUGGUGCUGUGUAUGUGUGUGUGUGUGUGUGUGUGCCUGUGAGUGUGUGCGUGUGUGUGUGUUUGUGUAUGUGUGUGUAUGUGUGUGUGUGUGCGUGCAUGUGUGUGUAUGUAUGUGUGUGUUUGUGUGUAUGUGUGUGUGUGUUUGUGCAUGUGUGUGUAUGUAUGUGUGUGUAUGUGUGUGUUUGUGUGUAUGUGUGUGUGUGUUUGUGUAUGUGUGUGUAUGUGUGUGUGCGUGUAUGUGUGUGUGUGCGUGUGUGUAUGUGUGUAUAUGUGUGUGUGUAUUUGUGUGUGUGUGCAUGUGCCUGUGUGCGUGUGCAUGUGUGUGCGUGUGUGUAUGUAUGUUCUUAUGCCUACACUGUGCUUUAGCCAUCACAGCUUUCACUGGUUUCUUCCUACAGUCUGUUGGCUGUGCUUGCUCAUUUCUUCUGUCCAAAGUAUUGCUUCCAGUAUUCUCUGGAGGGCUGGUUUGGCGGACAUAAAAUCCUUAGGACAUUUAUAUCAUGAAAUGAUUUUCUUUCUCCUUCAACCAAGGCAGAAAGUUUUGCUGGACACUGUAGUCUAGGUUGCUGUACGUGGCCCUUUAGAACUUGAAGUGCAUUGCCCCAGGCCUCCCAGUCGUUUACUGUUUCAAUUGCUUUAGCGGUCACUAUUCUCGUGGGUUUUCCUUUACGUGUGACCUGCGGUUUUUCUCUUGUUUCUUUCAAAAUUCUUUCUUUGGGCUUUGUAGCUAAUAUUUAAACUAUAAUAUGUCAUGGAGAAUUGUUUUCUGGUCCUGUGUAUUUGAUGUUCUGUAUGUUUCUUGUAUCUACAUGAGUGUGCCGUUAUUUAAUUUGGGGGAGUUGUAUUUUUGAUCUUGUUAAAGAUCUGGUCUGUGCCAUUGACCUAUAAUUUUUUUCCUUAUUAUAUGCCUAUAAUAAAAAAUAUUUUUGUGGUGUUCUACAGGUCUUGCAUGUUUUAUACAUGUUUAAUUUUUUUCAUGAUCUUUGCUUCAGUUGUCUAAUUCUUCCAUUUUCUUCCCACAAAUCCUGACACUCUAUCUUUUACAUUAGCCAUUCUAUUUAUGAAGCUUUUCCAGAGUUCUACAAUUGGGUUAUUGAGUUUUUCAAUUUCAUCUUAAUUUCCCCUUGGGUUCUAGUCAAUAUUUCUAUCUCUUUACUGAAUUCAGUUUUCAUAUUCUGAGCUGUCUUCAUUUCAUUCAACUCCAUGUUUGUGUUUUCUUGGACCUGACUCAGACAUUUGUUACUUUCCUCUUUAAAUUCACUUAGCUGCUUGUCCGUGACUUCUUACACACCUUAAAUUCUUUGAUGAACUUUAUGAUUGUUCUUUUGAUUUAUUUGUCCUGAGGUUCAUCUAUGUAAAGGUCAUCAGUGGACAUUUCUAUAAGACCACUGGGUUUGAGGAAGGAUGUACUGUUUUGGUCUUUCAUACAAGUUCGUGUUUUUGUGAUGUGACCUAUGUGUCUAUGUCAUAUGGUAUUUUAGCCUGCCUUGGGGAGGGUUCAUGUGGGAGCCCUGUGAACAGGACUAGGUCUCCCAGUAGUUUUUUUUUUUUCUUUUUUUUCUUUUUCUUUUUUCUUUUUUCGGAGCUGGGGACCGAACCCAGGGCAAGCGCUCUACCACUGAGCUAAAUCCCCAACCCUCUCCCAGUAGUUUUUAAAAAGGUAUGCUCUAGCCUUAUAUCCAAAAUAUACAAAGAACUCAAGAAGUUAGACCACAGGGAGACAAAUAACCCUAUUAAAAAAUGGGGUUCAGAGCUAAACAAACAAUUCACAGCUGAGGAAUGCCGAAUGGCUGAGAAACACCUAAAGAAAUGUUCAACAUCUUUAGUCAUGAGGGAAAUGCAAAUCAAAACAACCCUGAGAUUUCACCUCACACCAGUGAGAAUGGAUAAGAUCAAAAACUCACGUGACAGCAAAUGCUGGCGAGGAUGCGGAG